AUCGCGUUCCGUCCGCACGCCAGUGUUCAGCAGCGAUCAGACUCCAGUGGAUCCGAGUGCGAGCAUUCAACGCAGAGACACACGGUUCGGAUAACACACCAGAUUCAACAAAACACCGUUUAUGGUUGUAACUGAAGAUUUCACAAUGUCUCGUACCGACGAGGUCCAACGCAUUACGGAAAAUGUCUAUAAGAACAUCAUGGAACAGUUCAACCCCUGUUUGAGGAAUUUCAUCGCGAUGGGGAAGAACUAUGAGAAGGCGCUCUCCAGUGUGACGUUCGCAGCAAAAGGCUAUUUUGAUGCGCUGGUGAGAAUGGGCGAGCUGGCCAGUGAAAGUCAGGGAUCAAAAGACUUGGGCGACGUGCUUUUCCAGAUGGCAGAGGUCCACCGGCAAAUUCAAGUGCAGUUAGAGGAAAUGCUGAAAUGCUUUCACAAUGAGUUGCUGUCAGAGCUGGAGAAGAAGGUGGAUCUGGACGCCAGAUACCUGACUGCGGCUCUUAAGAAGUACCAGAUGGAGCACAAAAGCAAAGGAGAGAGCCUGGAGAAAUGCCAGGGCGAGCUGAAGAAAUUGCGGAGGAAGAGCCAGGGCAGCAAAAACCCCUCCAAGUACGGAGAGAAGGAGAUGCAGUAUGUUGAGACCAUUAGCUGUAAACAAAGCGAGUUGGAAACCUUCAUCGCAGAGGGCUACAAGACGGCGCUCUCGGAAGAACGCAGGAGAUACUGUUUCCUGGUGGACCGUCAGUGUGCUGUGGCCAAAAACAGCAGCGCCUACCAUGGCAAGGGUAAGGACUUGCUAACCCAGAAGAUCCCAGUAUGGCAGCAGGCCUGCUCAGAUCCUAACAAGCUGCCUGAAAGGGCCAUGUUGCUCGCCCAGCAGAUGACCUCAGGUUCGAGCACUCUCAUCUCCAGCCCUCUGCACUCCUCCAAGGGCAACCUGGUCAUCUCAGAUCCCAUCCCUGGAGCACAACCACUGCCCGUGCCUCCAGAACUAGCUGCCUUCAUGGGAAGUGGCUUGGGCCACCAGGGGCGUCUAAUGGGUCCUGAUGGCAUGUCUCUGGUGAACGGGACGACGGGGGUCCACGGGGAGGAGUACUGGACGGACGGUGGAGUCUCUCAGGGAAGACCGCCUUCCCCUCAGAGUCAGUCUCAAACCCAAAGCCAGCCCCAGAGACAGGUCAGCGACGUCUACUCCAACACCCUACCUGUCCGCAGACCCCAGCCGGCUAAGAACAAGACCUCUGUGGGAGAGACACGGACUCUGCCCCGGUCAAGUUCAAUGGCAGCGGGUCUGGAGAAGAACGGGCGCGCUCGUGUCCAAGCCAUUUUCUCCCACGCAGCUGGAGACAACAGCACCCUGCUCAGCUUCACUGAGGGAGACAUCAUAACCCUGCUCGUGCCGGAGGCUAGAGACGGCUGGCACUAUGGAGAAAACGAGAAGAAUAAGAUGCGUGGCUGGUUUCCUUUCUCCUACACUCGAGUGCUGCCUGACAGCGACAGUGAGAAGUUAAAAGUCAAUCUUCAUCAUGGGAAAAGCAGCAGCACAGGGAACCUGCUGGAGAGAGAGGACAUGUCUUUGCCCAUGCCCGACUAUGGUUUGACUGCCCGACUUUUGGCGCAGAGCCUAACACAGACUCGGCCACGCCCCUACAGCAUGGCUGGCUUUGCACAGCCAGCGCUAGAGGAUUAUGACAAUCACUUUGCCGCAAGGUCAGGAGAAGAGCUGUUCAUAGUCUGUGUGCCCUGCAAUUCACUCUCCCUAGCUGUCUCUAGAUGAAGUAAAACAAUUUGGGUCCUGAAUUGUCCCGGUUCUGAGUGUUGCAGGACCUCCGUAAGUCACCUGCCUCCAUCGCUGCUAAACCAACCGAUCAUGCAAUUUUUUUUGGUUUUGUUGUUCUCUGCAUUUGCUGUCGGGCUUAAACACGGGCACUAGGGCUUCACAACUGUUUCGUCUCAUGCCGCCACCCGCCUCUCUGGUUGGUUGCAUUUUUUUUCUGUGUGCCUUGUAAUUCGUACCAGCCAGAGAGGUCGUAGGUUGCCAGGAAAUGGGGUUUUCAUGGAGGCAAUGUGUUGGCACUGGAGUGAUCGUUCCAUGGAGGUCUACUUCAGGCCAAGCAUCAUGGACGGCCGAUCCGCUCCUCUGUACUACUAGAGGAGCCCGUGCUGUGGCCUGUGCAGUAUAUCGCCCUCUUCAGUAUAUCGCCCUCUUCUGUUCUGUUUGUGUCAUUGCAACAGCAUGCAGCACACACGUGUACUUACAGUACCUACAGGGUCCGAGCGUUGAGGAUACACCGUAAAUUUCCUAUGAAAUGGAUUAAUCGUAACACUUUAGCUUCGUGAUAAUUGGGAUUUACAGCAUCUUUCAUUGUUUUCAUGUUUCAAACUGAUGAUAGAGGAUCAAGAGUAAUGUAAAUGUUACAACUAAGUAGUUAGCAGAUACUAUUUCAAUAAGUUGCAUAUCUUAGGUAAGAAGGCUUUAUUUUUCUGUGUUUUAUCUGUGUGAUCUACAGUAGUAUGUCUGUGUAUCAUCACUCAUUUCUGUAUGCUGUCCGCAACGGUGUUGGGAUGAAACCUCUUCCAAGGGGUCGCUUUAUAAUAAAUUUUUUUAUUUGUUUAAUUUGCUUCUGCAAAUGAAAGAGAUCUGUAUUAGUCGCAAUAUAUUCACAUGCAAGCAGCGCUGACACAUGGACUGUGCCUUUUCCAGCUGUUUGUAUUAUGAAAUCUGUAACUCCAUUGGCCUACAUUAUAUAUGGGGAAUUGUUUUGUGUUUUUUGAUUUUUUUUUCUUUUUUUAAUUUCAGCAACUGUUUUAGAUCUUCGCUAGUUGCUUUAAUAAGAUCUGUUGAGAAUAUAAAUCUUCUUGGUGAUCUUUUGUUCACAUACUGGGCAAUAUUGCUUAUUCAGUAUAUAUACAAAUAGACUACUACACAAAAAUGAAUAUUGUAAAUAUGUUUUUGUUUGUUUUGAGGGACUGAGAGCAGAUCUGUUGUAAGUCCUUGUAAAUAUAAUCUCCGUUUAGUUCAACUUUCUUUUUUGCCACAGGGGGAAAAUCUCUUAAUAUGAAUAGCAUGUUUUUAUAAUGGGGAAUCUACUGUGAUGUUUGUGUGGAAGAUGGGAAACUUGAUUUGAUUGUUUGAUGGAGAGAUUUAUUUGGGGUCUGAUCAGCUUUAAAACCCAAUUUCUAAUGCUUUACUCUUAUUUUGGCAUUUCUAAAUGUCCUGUUCAUUCUUAUUUAUGGAAAAAUGCAAAUGUUUGUGCUCAUUCUUGUAUCAAAUAAAAAAUCAACAAAAAGUG